ACUCCCCAGCCGGAUUUGACCAGCGACCUAAGGAUCACCGUUGUAACAUCUACAGUCCUCGCUCUGCCAACUGAGCUAUCGAGGG
rnacentral:tRNA from 1 species